AGCGAACGCUGGCGGCAGGCCUAACACAUGCAAGUCGAACGAACCUUUCGGGGUUAGUGGCGGACGGGUGAGUAACACGUGGGAACGUGCCUUUAGGUUCGGAAUAACUCAGGGAAACUUGUGCUAAUACCGAAUGUGCCCUUCGGGGGAAAGAUUUAUCGCCUUUAGAGCGGCCCGCGUCUGAUUAGCUAGUUGGUUGAGGUAAUGGCUCACCAAGGCGACGAUCAGUAGCUGGUCUGAGAGGAUGAUCAGCCACAUUGGGACUGAGACACGGCCCAAACUCCUACGGGAGGCAGCAGUGGGGAAUCUUGCGCAAUGGGCGAAAGCCUGACGCCGCCAUGCCGCGUGAAUGAUGAAGGUCUUAGGAUUGUAAAAUUCUUUCACCGGGGACGAUAAUGACGGUACCCGGAGAAGAAGCCCCGGCUAACUUCGUG
rnacentral:rRNA from 1 species